rnacentral:rRNA from 1 species
UACGGAGGGAUGCAAGCGUUAUCCGGAAUGAUUGGGCGUAAAGCGUCCGCAGGUGGCUAUGUAAGUCUGCUGUUAAAGAGUGAGGCUCAACCUCAUAAAAAGCAGUGGAAACUACAUGGCUAGAGUGCGUUCGGGGCAGAGGGAAUUACCUGGUGUAGCGGUGAAAAUGCGUAGAUAUCGAGAGGAACACCUGCGGCGAAGGCGGGUUGCUGGGCUGAUACUGACGCUGAGGCGCGAAAGCCAGGGGAGCGAACGGG